CUCAAGAUCACUUCCUCUGGACAGCCCAAUGUGCAGACUGCGUUGAAGGGGAUCACCUCUGGGUUUUCUCUCAAAUCCUGCAAACCCAGAUUCCAAGCCUUGUCGGCCUCAGCUGUAUAAUGGCUCGGACUUCCCAGGUACUGACUACAGAACCUUAUUCACAGAAGACGCUGAGGAGUGUCAGAGAGCCAGCACACAGGACCCUGCCUGUCACCUUUUCUCUUUUCUAAACGAUGUCUUCACACCAAACAUUUACAGUAGUGGAGAUCCAGCGACAGGGGGGAGAGACUCAGCCAGACGAGGACGAGGACGAUGACGAUGACGAUGGGGGCGGAUUUAGACUGUGCUGAAUUACGAAAUAAAGUUGGUUAUCGAAGCUUUCCGUUGUAUCCUCGUCAUUCCGGGACCCCCCAAGGAUCCGCACGUGUAACUUCCGUCCC